rnacentral:rRNA from 1 species
GUGGAGCAAUCCAUGAGUACAGUGGCGUACGGGUGAGUAACACGUGGGUAAUCUACCUCUUAGUGAGGAAUAACCCUGGGAAACCGGGGCUAAUACCGCAUAAGCCUGAGAAGGGAAAGCAGCAAUGCGCUGAGAGAGGAGCCCGCGGCCGAUUAGCUAGUUGGUGGGGUAAGAGCCCACCAAGGCAGAGAUCGGUAGCCGGCCUGAGAGGGCACACGGCCACACUGGCACUGAAACACGGGCCAGACUCCUACGGGAGGCAGCAGUGGGGAAUCUUGCACAAUGGGGGAAACCCUGAUGCAGCGACGCCGCGUGAGCGAUGAAGCCCUUCGGGGUGUAAAGCUCUUUCGUCAGGGAAGAUAGUGACGGUACCUGGAGAAGCAGCUGCGGCUAACUACGUGCCAGCAGCCGCGGUAAUACGUAGGCAGCAAGCGUUGUUCGGAGUUACUGGGCGUAAAGGGUGUGUAGGCGGUUCUUUAAGUUUGGUGUGAAAUCUCCCGGCUUAACCGGGAGGGUGCGCCGAAUACUGAGGGACUAGAGUACGGGAGAGGAAAGUGGAAUUCCUGGUGUAGCGGUGAAAUGCGUAGAUAUCAGGAGGAACACCGGUGGUGUAGACGGCUUUCUGGACCGUAACUGACGCUGAGACACGAAAGCGUGGGUAGCAAACAGGAUUAGAUACCCUGGUAGUCCACGCCCUAAACGAUGCAUAUUUGGUGUGGGCAGUUCAUUCUGUCCGUGCCGGAGCUAACGCGUUAAAUAUGCCGCCUGGGGAGUACAGUCGCAAGGCUGAAACUC